rnacentral:rRNA from 1 species
GAUGAACGCUGGCGGCGUGCCUAAUACAUGCAAGUCGAGCGAACGGACGAGAAGCUUGCUUCUCUGAUGUUAGCGGCGGACGGGUGAGUAACACGUGGAUAACCUACCUAUAAGACUGGGAUAACUUCGGGAAACCGGAGCUAAUACCGGAUAAUAUUUUGAACCGCAUGGUUCAAAAGUGAAAGACGGUCUUGCUGUCACUUAUAGAUGGAUCCGCGCUGCAUUAGCUAGUUGGUAAGGUAACGGCUUACCAAGGCAACGAUGCAUAGCCGACCUGAGAGGGUGAUCGGCCACAUUGGAACUGAGACACGGUCCAGACUCCUACGGGAGGCAGCAGUAGGGAAUCUUCCGCAAUGGGCGAAAGCCUGACGGAGCAACGCCGCGUGAGUGAUGAAAGUCUUCGGAUCGUAAAACUCUGUUAUUAGGGAAGAACAUAUGUGUAAGUAACUGUGCACAUCUUGACGGUACCUAAUCAGAAAGCCACGGCUAACUACGUGCCAGCAGCCGCGGUAAUACGUAGGUGGCAAGCGUUAUCCGGAAUUAUUGGGCGUAAAGCGCGCGUAGGCGGUUUUUUAAGUCUGAUGUGAAAGCCCACGGCUCAACCGUGGAGGGUCAUUGGAAACUGGAAAACUUGAGUGCAGAAGAGGAAAGUGGAAUUCCAUGUGUAGCGGUGAAAUGCGUAGAGAUAUGGAGGAACACCAGUGGCGAAGGCGACUUUCUGGUCUGUAACUGACGCUGAUGUGCGAAAGCGUGGGGAUCAAACAGGAUUAGAUACCCUGGUAGUCCACGCCGUAAACGAUGAGUGCUAAGUGUUAGGGGGUUUCCGCCCCUUAGUGCUGCAGCUAACGCAUUAAGCACUCCGCCUGGGGAGUACGACCGCAAGGUUGAAACUCAAAGGAAUUGACGGGGACCCGCACAAGCGGUGGAGCAUGUGGUUUAAUUCGAAGCAACGCGAAGAACCUUACCAAAUCUUGACAUCCUUUGACAACUCUAGAGAUAGAGCUUUCCCCUUCGGGGGACAAAGUGACAGGUGGUGCAUGGUUGUCGUCAGCUCGUGUCGUGAGAUGUUGGGUUAAGUCCCGCAACGAGCGCAACCCUUAAGCUUAGUUGCCAUCAUUAAGUUGGGCACUCUAAGUUGACUGCCGGUGACAAACCGGAGGAAGGUGGGGAUGACGUCAAAUCAUCAUGCCCCUUAUGAUUUGGGCUACACACGUGCUACAAUGGACAAUACAAAGGGCAGCGAAACCGCGAGGUCAAGCAAAUCCCAUAAAGUUGUUCUCAGUUCGGAUUGUAGUCUGCAACUCGACUACAUGAAGCUGGAAUCGCUAGUAAUCGUAGAUCAGCAUGCUACGGUGAAUACGUUCCCGGGUCU